rnacentral:rRNA from 1 species
AGGACGAACGCUGGCGGCGCGCCUAAUACAUGCAAGUCGAGCGAGAACCAGGGCUUCGGCCCUGGGGAGAGCGGCGAACGGGUGCGUAUCACGUGAGCAACCUGCCUCGGAGACCGGAAUAACUCGAGGAAACUCGGGCUAAUGCCGGAUGCCCUCGGUGGACCGCAUGGUCCGGCGAGGAAAUGGAUUCCGCUCCGAGAUGGGCUCGUGGCCUAUCAGCUUGUGUGGGUAACGCUACCAAGGCAACGCGGUAGCUGGUCUGAGAGGACGAUCAGCCACACUGGGACUGAGACACGGCCCAGACUCCUACGGGAGGCAGCAGUAGGGAAUCUUGCGCAAUGGGCGAAAGCCUGACGCAGCGACGCCGCGUGCGGGAUGAAGGCCUUCGGCGUAAACCGCUUUCAGCAGGCAAAUUGACGUACUGCAGAAGAGGCCGACAACUACGUGCCAGCAAGCCGAC